rnacentral:piRNA from 1 species
UGGGUGGAACCAUGACCAAAAAUGGUA